rnacentral:rRNA from 1 species
AACGAACGCUGGCGGCAUGCCUAACACAUGCAAGUCGAACGAGACCUUCGGGUCUAGUGGCGCACGGGUGCGUAACGCGUGGGAAUCUGCCCUUGGGUUCGGAACAACAAAUGGAAACGACUGCUAAUACCGGAUGAUGACUUCGGUCCAAAGAUUUAUCGCCAAGGGAUGAGCCCGCGUAGGAUUAGCUAGUUGGUGAGGUAAAAGCUCACCAAGGCGACGAUCCGUAGCUGGUCUGAGAGGAUGAUAAGCCACACUGGGACUGAGCCACGGCCCAGACUCAUACGGGAGGCAGCAGUGGGGAAUAUUGGACAAUGGGCGAAAGCCUGAUCCAGCAAUGCCGCGUGAAUGAUGAAGGCCUUAGGGUUGUAAAGUUCUUUUACCCGGGAUGAUAAUGACAGUACCGGGAGAAUAAGCCCCGGCUAACUCCGUGCCAGCCGCCGCGGUAACAC